rnacentral:rRNA from 1 species
AUUGAACGCUGGCGGCAUGCCUUACACAUGCAAGUCGAACGGCAGCACGGGAGCAAUCCUGGUGGCGAGUGGCGAACGGGUGAGUAAUAUAUCGGAACGUGCCCAGUCGUGGGGAUAACGUAGCGAAAGCUACGCUAAUACCGCAUACGAUCUACGGAUGAAAGCGGGGGAUCGCAAGACCUCGCGCGAUUGGAGCGGCCGAUAUCAGAUUAGGUAGUUGGUGAGGUAAAGGCUCACCAAGCCGACGAUCUGUAGCUGGUCUGAGAGGACGACCAGCCACACUGGGACUGAGACACGGCCCAGACUCCUACGGGAGGCAGCAGUGGGGAAUUUUGGACAAUGGGCGCAAGCCUGAUCCAGCAAUGCCGCGUGCCAGGAUGAAGGGCCUUCGGUUGUAACUAGCUUUGUUACGGACG